GCCUGGGUGGCUCAGUCGGUCAAGCAUCUGACUUUGGCUCAGGUCACGAUAUCACGGUUCGUGGGUUCGAGCCCUGUGUCGGGCU
rnacentral:tRNA from 1 species